rnacentral:rRNA from 1 species
GUAACACGUAGUUACCUGCCCUGAAGUGGGGGAUAACAACUCGAAAGAGUUGCUAAUAGGCCGCAUGUGACCACCGGAUCCAUUUCGGUGCUCAAAGUCGCAAGACGCUUUAGGAGGGGCCUGCGGGCGGAUUAGCUAGUUGUGUGGGGUAAACGGCCUACCAAGGUCGUCGAUCCGUAGCUGGUCUGAGAGGAUGACCAGCCAGACUGGGACUGU